rnacentral:rRNA from 1 species
GACAGAGGAUGGCAAGCGUUAUCCGGAAUGAUUGGGCGUAAAGCGUCUGUAGGUGGCUUUUUAAGUCCGCCGUCAAAUCCCAGGGCUCAACCCUGGACAGGCGGUGGAAACUACCAAGCUGGAGUACGGUAGGGGCAGAGGGAAUUUCCGGUGGAGCGGUGGAAAUGCGUAGAGGAUCGGAAAGAACACCAACGGCGAAAGGCACUCUGCUGGGACCGACACUGACACUGAGAGACGAAAGCUAGGGGAGCGAAAUGGG